AUUGAACGCUGGCGGCAGGCCUAACACAUGCAAGUCGAGCGAGCGGCGGACGGGUGAGUAAUGUCUGGGAAACUGCCUGAUGGAGGGGGAUAACUACUGGAAACGGUAGCUAAUCACGCAUACCAUCAGAUGUGCCCAGAUGGUAUUAGCUAGUAUGUGGGUUAAAGGCUCACCUAGUCGACUAUCCCUAGCUGGUCUGAGAGGAUGACCAGCCACACUGGAACUGAGACACGGUCCAGACUCCUACGGGAGGCAGCAGUGGGGAAUAUUGCACAAUGGGCGCAAGCCUGAUGCAGCCAUGCCGCGUGUGUGAAGAAGGCCUUCGGGUUGUAAAGCACUUUCGGCGGGGAGGCGUUACCCGCAGAAGAAGCACCGGCUAACUCCGUGCCAGCAGCCGCGGUAAUAC
rnacentral:rRNA from 1 species